UUGAAUUCUUUCCUGUUGUUGAAGAUCAGAUGAGUCUGAAAAAAUGCAGAAAACAGUCCAACUGUCCUGAACAGUCUCUAGAAGAACAUCUGACUCAGUAGGAGCUUCAGUGGAGCUGAUAUCAUGUAAGAACCCGUUAGUGUUGGUGUUGUCCAGACUGUCCCCGUAGAUCUGUAGGAUUCAGCCUAGACCACACCAGGCCCUGGGCCCAAACCCAAACACUGAACACAUACUGAUGUGUCAGUUCAAAAGACAGAACAGGUUUGAGAGCGUCCGCAUCCAGUAGAAGUGGUUUGUGUGAGUGACACCUGUGUCUACGCUCAGGAAGGCCCUCAGGAGGACAAAUGUGUGGGUGUAUGAACGGUUGGUAGAUGUGUGGCAUGUGGGUGUGAGUGGGUGUGGGGCAGAGCCUAUAAGUAGUGGGCGGUCUGUGUGCGCUCAGAGGACUUGGUUCAGGUGCGGCGACUGAAACAUUUGUUAACUGGCCAGAGUUUUCUUUGUUCGGAGCAAGCCUGUGUUCCUGGGGGAUCCAGUUGGGCUUGAGCCGUGGGUUCGGGACGUCUGGCUCAGGGUAAGUCGCUCGUAGCUCCGUCUUGUAAUUUGGGCCCUGGGCCUAAGCUGACCCAAAUGACGCUUCACUUUAGAUCCUGAGCUGCAGCAUGGACAGCUGCUGAUCCCUUCCAUCUGCCCCCCCCCGGCUGCCCACAAGCAUGUGUCUCCCCCGGCAGGAACCAGAAUUCCAGGUUGUGGUCCACGACCAGGACCGCCGCUCCCAGAAAGGACCCGUUGUUUUGUCCAGCUUUGUCCCAUCUGGUUCAUCAGAUCUGCCUCCAGUGGAGUCCAGCGCCACCGCUGGGUACCAGCUCCAAAACUGAAGACGGGAGCCCUGUCCGGGGCCACCCUGGGCACCUGAGUGGUGUGUUUAGAUCGGAUUCCUCAUUGGGUGACACACCUACCGAUGAUCAGCUGAAUCAGCUUGUCAGCCGGCUACAAAAGCAGUGGAACGAACACCUCAGCAGACCCAGACGCAGCAAACCCCUCCAGACCCAGCAGAAGCCUUAGGCUAGGAAGCCCUCUUUCUUUUAGUUACUACUUCAGUUAAUUUCUUUGAGUUUGCCCUGGGGGUGGCCGGUGGUCCAACUUUUCAUUUUAGAUUUGGUUGAACAAGUUCUUUUUUGUUAGGGGGUGGGGGCAGCUUCUACAUCCCUAUAGUGGGGGGGGCCUGCCUUCCCCCUCCAUUUUAUUUAUUUUUGCUGGCACCUCCAGGUCCUUUUGAUUCGUUGAGUUCAUUUUUGAUAUGCAUUGCCUUUUGAGUUUGUUGUUUUCUUAAAUGACUUCAUUGAUGA